AUGAACAUGCUUCCUGACACCUGCUCAGUUCUGCUGCUCCUCUUCAUGCUCAGGAGGAGCAAUGGCGACUCAGUGACCCAAACAGAAGGCCUGGUCACUGUCACAGAGGGGUUGCCUGUGAUCAUGAACUGCACCUAUCAGACUACUUACUCAAAUACUUUCCUUUUCUGGUACGUGCAAUAUCCCAACAAAGCCCCUCGGCUACUCCUGAGGAGCGCCACAGACAACCAGAGGACAGAGCACCAAGGGUUCCAGGCCACUCUCCACAGGAGCAGCAGCUCCUUCCACCUACAGAAGUCCUCAGUGCAGCUGGCAGACUCUGCCCUGUACUACUGUGCUCUGAGUGACACAGUGAGGGGGACUGCAGGGGAAGCUGCACACAAACCCAGGUGCAGGGGCUGA